GCUGGGUGUGGUGGCGCACACCUGUAAUCCCAGCUACUCCGGAGGCUGAGGCGGGAGAAUCGCUUGAACCGGGGAGGCGCAGGUUGCAGUGAGCCGAGAUCGCGCCACUGCACUCCAGCCUGGGUGACAGAGGGAGACCCUGUCUCAA
ensembl:misc_RNA Metazoa_SRP Metazoan signal recognition particle RNA